rnacentral:rRNA from 1 species
AAAUUCCAUCUAAAGCUAAAUAUUGGCGAGAGACCGAUAGCGAACAAGUACAGUGAUGGAAAGAUGAAAAGAACUUUGAAAAGAGAGUGAAAAAGUACGUGAAAUUGUUGAAAGGGAAGGGUAUGAGAUCAGACUUGGUGUUUUGCAACCUUACUCUCGGGUGGGGCCCCUGCAGUUCAUCGGGCCAGCAUCAGUUUGGAUGGUAGGAUAAUGGCAUUGGAAUGUAGCUUGGCUUCGGUUAAGUGUUAUAGCCUUUGUUGAUACUGCCUGUCUAGACUGAGGACUGCGUCUUUGACUAGGAUGCUGGCAUAAUGAUCCUAUACCGCCCGUCUUGAAACACGGACCAAGGAGUCUAACGUCUAUGCAAGUGUUUGGGUGUAAAACCCGUACGCGUAAUGAAAGUGAACGUAGGUCUGAGCUCUCUGAGUGCAAGAUCGACCGAUCCUGAUGUCUUCGGAUGGAUUUGAGUAAGAGCAUAGCUGUUGGGACCCGAAAGAUGGUGAACUAUACCUGAAUAGGGUGAAGCCAGAG